UACGGAGGGGGCGAGCGUUAUUCGGAAUUAUUGGGCGUAAAGGGCGCGUAGGCGGCUGUACAAGUCAAAGGUGAAAUCCCUCGGCUCAACUGAGGAACUGCCUUUGAAACUGUACGGCUUGAGGCCGGGAGGGGGUAGCGGAAUUCCCAGUGUAGCGGUGAAAUGCGUAGAUACUGGGAGGAACACCUGUGGCGAAAGCGGCGCACUGGACCAUAACUGACGCUGAUGCGCGAAAGCUAGGGGAGCAAACAGG
rnacentral:rRNA from 1 species